CCUACGGGUGGCAGCAGUGGGGAAUAUUGGGCAAUGGAGGCAACUCUUACCCAGCAAUGCCGCGUGAAUGAAGAAGGUCUUCGGAUUGUAAAGUUCUUUUCUCAGGGACGAAGCAAGUGACGGUACCUGAGGAAUAAGCCACGGCUAACUACGUGCCAGCAGCCGCGGUAAUACGUAGGUGGCAAGCGUUAUCCGGAUUUACUGGGUGUAAAGGGCGUGUAGGCGGGACUGCAAGUCAGAUGUGAAAACCACGGGCUCAACCUGUGGCCUGCAUUUGAAACUGUAGUUCUUGAGUACUGGAGAGGCAGACGGAAUUCCUAGUGUAGCGGUGAAAUGCGUAGAUAUUAGGAGGAACACCAGUGGCGAAGGCGGUCUGCUGGACAGCAACUGACGCUGAGGCGCGAAAGCGUGGGGAGCAAACAGGAUUAGAUACCCGAGUAGUC
rnacentral:rRNA from 1 species